rnacentral:tRNA from 1 species
AUUUAUAUAGUUUAAUAAAAACAUUACAUUUUCAUUGUAAAAUUAAAACUAUCUUUUUAUAAAUA